AAUACCGGAUGGUUGUUUGAACCGCAUGGUUCAAACAUAAAAGGUGGCUUCGGCUACCACUUACAGAUGGACCCGCGGCGCAUUAGCUAGUUGGUGAGGUAACGGCUCACCAAGGCGACGAUGCGUAGCCGACCUGAGAGGGUGAUCGGCCACACUGGGACUGAGACACGGCCCAGACUCCUACGGGAGGCAGCAGUAGGGAAUCUUCCGCAAUGGACGAAAGUCUGACGGAGCAACGCCGCGUGAGUGAUGAAGGUUUUCGGAUCGUAAAGCUCUGUUGUUAGGGAAGAACAAGUACCGUUCGAAUAGGGCGGUACCUUGACGGUACCUAACCAGAAAGCCACGGCUAACUACGUGCCAGCAGCCGCGGUAAUACGUAGGUGGCAAGCGUUGUCCGGAAUUAUUGGGCGUAAAGGGCUCGCAGGCGGUUUCUUAAGUCUGAUGUGAAAGCCCCCGGCUCAACCGGGGAGGGUCAUUGGAAACUGGGGAACUUGAGUGCAGAAGAGGAGAGUGGAAUUCCACGUGUAGCGGUGAAAUGCGUAGAGAUGUGGAGGAACACCAGUGGCGAAGGCGACUCUCUGGUCUGUAACUGACGCUGAGGAGCGAAAGCGUGGGGAGCGAACAGGAUUAGAUACCCUGGUAGUCCACGCCGUAAACGAUGAGUGCUAAGUGUUAGGGGGUUUCCGCCCCUUAGUGCUGCAGCUAACGCAUUAAGCACUCCGCCUGGGGAGUACGGUCGCAAGACUGAAACUCAAAGGAAUUGACGGGGGCCCGCACAAGCGGUGGAGCAUGUGGUUUAAUUCGAAGCAACGCGAAGAACCUUACCAGGUCUUGACAUCCUCUGACAAUCCUAGAGAUAGGACGUCCCCUUCGGGGGCAGAGUGACAGGUGGUGCAUGGUUGUCGUCAGCUCGUGUCGUGAGAUGUUGGGUUAAGUCCCGCAACGAGCGCAACCCUUGAUCUUAGUUGCCAGCAUUCAGUUGGGCACUCUAAGGUGACUGCCGGUGACAAACCGGAGGAAGGUGGGGAUGACGUCAAAUCAUCAUGCCCCUUAUGACCUGGGCUACACACGUGCUACAAUGGACAGAACAAAGGGCAGCGAAACCGCGAGGUUAAGCCAAUCCCACAAAUCUGUUCUCAGUUCGGAUCGCAGUCUGCAACU
rnacentral:rRNA from 1 species